UUGUCCUUGUCUUUCGCAAGAAAUUUGGAUUCAAGCACGUCAUGUGUCCUUGUUGUAUCUAGACUUCGGAAGGAUAAACGUGGCUUCGCUUUUCUCGCCGUCGAAGAAUCGUCUACAAUUUCCGACCACCGGCAACCGAGAUUUGUCAAAGUUAACGAGAAUCGCUUUUCGCUAUUUAUCAGCCAGUAGAGUGAGGUUAUGUUGCACAGCCCUCUUCGCCACGAGUGGGAUUACCGACUUUUAAGUCCUCCUUGAGAUUAAUCGUAAUGUCAGCGAGAACGUGCUUGUCCAGGGUUAUCUCCGCUGGAUUUAGAGAUUUACAAUUUAGAGAUCUUCACGUGGUAUCGAGACUUAGUCACUCAGAGCAAGAUGUUGAGGCUAGGCGUAAGGAAGUUAUGUCUCGAGGUCUCCCGAAACAGAAACCGAUCGAAGGUGUUAAACAAAUUUUACUCGUAGCUUCUGGGAAAGGAGGCGUAGGUAAAUCGACUACGUCUGUAAAUUUAGCAAUCGCGAUAAAGCUUCUCGAACCUGAGAAAUCUGUAGGACUGUUAGAUGCAGAUGUCUUUGGGCCGACUAUUCCACUGAUGAUGAAUCUUCAUCAGUCACCUAUCUUAAACAAAGACAGUCUAAUGGAACCCCUCAUAAAUCAUGGCAUUAAGUGCAUGUCAAUGGGAUUUUUAAUAGACGAGAAGUCACCCGUGAUCUGGAGAGGGCUCAUGGUAAUGAGUGCGUUAGAGAAACUGAUAAGACAGGUUGCAUGGAGUCCGGUUGAUUAUUUAAUCAUAGACACGCCACCAGGGACAGGUGAUACGCAUUUAUCCCUGGUUCAAAAUAUUCCAAUUAGUGGUGCACUUCUUGUAACGACUCCCCAAAGGGCUGCCUUAGAUGUAACACGGAGAGGAGCAGUUAUGUUCCGAAAACUGAACGUCCCAUUAGCUGGUAUCGUGGAGAAUAUGUCAAAUAUCAUCUGUCCGAACUGUACUUCCGAUAUUCCUCUUUAUGGCAAAGGAACGGCAUCAUUGGCCGAAGAACUUGGAAUAUCCGUAAUGCAAAAAGUGCCUCUGCAUAAUGACGUCUCCGAAAGUGGAGACACAGGAAAGCCAAUUGUACUCGCAAAGCCUGAUUCGGUCCAAGCCUUGGCAUUCAAAGAAUUAGCAAAGAACGUGACUUCCUUCUUAGCCAAACAAUCUGUGAAUUCGGAGUAAUCAAAAGUCAGUGAUAAGUGUCCGAGUAGUUUGACAUACAGUUCGAUCAGUGUGUUCUCGCAUACUUGAAACUGGUACGAGUCCCCUCUCCAGUCUGAUAGUCAAGGUGACGUGCACUGGUGGGAGUGUGACUCGUCAGAAAAUAUAUGACUAUCUCUUUCGGGCUCGAUUGACUAGUUAUGGAACUGUGCGUUAAGC
rnacentral:misc_RNA from 1 species